AUUUAAAUAGCUUAUAUAAUUAAAGUAUAGUAUUGAAGUUACUAUGAAAAUAAAUCAUUAUUUUUAAAUA
rnacentral:tRNA from 1 species